rnacentral:lncRNA from 1 species
CGGCCGCCCGCUCGGGAAUCCCCGGGGCGCCCACCCGACGCCAGUGUCGCUCGCAGGCUUGGUCGCCUCUUCUCGGCAGAAGCUGGGGCUCGCCCACCCCGCGCUCUUUCCUCCGGGUACUUCGCGAACAAGUUUUGGAGCACCCGGAACCGCUCGUGCGUGAGAUUUGGCUUCGGUUCCCGAAGGAGGAGUGAGGGAGGGCUGCACGCCGCUCGCCCUCCCUCCCGGCAGCCGGAGGAUUAUGAAAAUGCUGAAAACGCUUCAACUCAGACAAAAGUUAUAAAUAAAAAAGAUAAAAGAAAGAACC